GUCCCUGUAGCACAAUGGAUAGUGCGGCAGCCUUCUAAGCUGCUGAUGAAGGUUCGAUUCCUUCCGGGGACACCA
rnacentral:tRNA from 1 species